AUUGAACGCUGGCGGCAUGCUUUACACAUGCAAGUCGAACGGUAACAGGCCGCAAGGUGCUGACGAGUGGCGAACGGGUGAGUAAUGCAUCGGAACGUGCCCAGUCGUGGGGGAUAACUACUCGAAAGAGUAGCUAAUACCGCAUACGAUCUAUGGAUGAAAGCGGGGGACCGUAAGGCCUCGCGCGAUUGGAGCGGCCGAUGUCCGAUUAGGUAGUUGGUGGGGUAAAGGCUCACCAAGCCAACGACCUGUAGCUGGUCUGAGAGGACGACCAGCCACACGGGGACUUGAACACGGCCAAGACUCCUACGGGAGGCAGCAGUGGGGAAUGUUGGACAAUGGGGGCAAGCCUGAUCCAGCAAUGCCGCGUGCAGGAAGAAGGCCUUCGGGUUGUAAACUGCUUUUGUACGGAACGAAACGGCUCUGGUUAAUACCCGGGGUUAAUGACGGUACCGUAAGAAUAAGCACCGGCUAACUACGUG
rnacentral:rRNA from 1 species